GUGCAGUGAGAGGGCUGUGAUAAGGCCACUAAGCACUAUUUGCUAUGUAGGCUGGUGACAUAGGUAGCAAAGGUGGUUGCAGAGGAAGAAACCAGUGCUGCAGCCUACAGGAAAAAGAGUUCGUUGGCGUUUACUAUGCCUAGGCUGUCCUUACGGCCCAUUAUAGUGUGUACGGAGAGUCAGUGCAUGUAUCUCAGGGAAGGGUUGUUGAUGCCG
rnacentral:misc_RNA from 1 species